GCUGGAUGAGAGAAACGGCAAGCAGUACUGCCAUCACCUAGCCACUGAGAGUUCCCCCUGCCUGUGACAUUGAGUUUCUGGCCGACCUUGAGCCAUGAAGAUCCUUUACCUGCUCUUUGCUGUUUUCUUUUUGGUGCUCCAGGGUACCCCAGCAUUCUCCCAGGCUCAGAAUUUCAGCUUCCUCUGCAGACGCCUGUGGGGAACGUGUGUCUUCAGGAGAUGUCCCCCGAAUUGGAGAUUCAUUGGAAGAUGCUCUUCUACGCACGUUUGCUGUGUAAGGCAAAAUCGUGGCUAAUUGUCUAGGCAGGAUCUCUGGGAAUCUGGCAGACAACAACUUGCUUCUAAAAUCCUCAGAUCCUGCUUCAAUGGAACCCUGAAGUGCUGCUUAUCUGGGCACUAAAGAAACUUGUGAGCUGGAGAAAUUCCAGAAAGGAGCCCUUGUAUCACCAUAUAAGUUUUGU